rnacentral:rRNA from 1 species
CGCGCAGGCGGCCGAGUCAGUCGAAUGUGAAAGCCCCCGGCUCAACUGGGGAAGGUCGUUCGAUACUGCUCGGCUCGAAGAUAGGAGAGGGAAGCGGAAUUUCAGGUGUAGUGGUGAAAUGCGUAGAUAUCUGAAGGAACACCAGUGGCGAAGGCGGCUUUCUGGCCUAUUCUUGACGCUGAGGCGCGAAAGCUAGGGGAGCGAACG